rnacentral:sRNA from 1 species
UAUGUGUAUAACACACACGUAUCGGCACAUACGCCGGGGUGCCCUGAGGAGCUUGCUCUGAUUGGUCGGCGUUAUGGGAUACGUGGAGGCAUAAC